AUUACUGUAGCUUAAUGUUAAAGCAUAGAUUUUGUAAAUCUACGAUAAUGAUGUAUUUCAGUAGUA
rnacentral:tRNA from 1 species